rnacentral:tmRNA from 1 species
GGGGGCGACCGGUUUCGACGGGGAGAGUGGUGGCAAAGAUAGCGGGUCGAGGUGCUGUGGCCUCGUUAAACUGCAGCAAGCACAUUAAGUGCCAAUAAUCAAGAAUUAGCUUUAGCCGCUUAAGAUAACGGCUCGUCCAAUCCGGGCUUAACUUGGGAGGCCGGUGCGGACGUCAAAUAAACCAAGGCGCUCAUUAUUCAAUUCUCGGAGAAUAGUGCUAAGAUUAUCGAGAUAGCCGAAGGCUGGUUCGUCUGUAGACAAGUCCGAAGCAAAAUUUAAAUUGCAGUCUGUACCCGGAGAAGUCUUUGUUGUUACCUUUUCGGACGGGGGUUCAACUCCCCCCGCCUCCACCA